AAUCAUUUAUUAAGCAUUGCCCUGGCCUAAGACACCACAUGGGUCAUUUCUUCCAGGCUCCAACUUGCUUCUGCUUUGCCAUAUGGUAACACGCCGUAUUAUGGAAGCACCAUCAUUACCGCCAUUUGCAGGGGAAGCCUAAAGAGAUAAAUGCCAGCCAGCAUCCCUGUCUCUGGGGCCCUGGAGAGGCCUUCAACACACCUGGCCUCACUGCCCUGUGGCUUCAACAAAGAGGCCGAGCAUCUCCUAUAAACCUUGAGGUCCAUGGAUGACAUAGCGGAAUGAUGGAUUUCAGAAAAGCACACUGCUGUUACGACUCCAGAACCGAUAAGGAAGCUAUGUGUGGAAGUAUGAGCUCAGGUCGCCUUCUGACCCUCUGUGACGGUCUAUUUCAGGCAGUUAUGGAUAGAUAACAUUACAGACACUGGGAUCUUUAACAAGUGACACAAACAAGAGAAGAAGCAGACAGGACCAUUUAACUUCAAACUCCACCGAAGAGAGCUGAAUUGUAAGCUUCCUACAGCAAGCCCGGCUGGCGGCUAUGUGGCAGUCUUCAUUUCUCAGCGGAAAAGCCACUCCCUUGAGACUCUCCAGGCACCCCCCAACCGCAUUUUUUAUCAAGUGUCUAAAAGCUGCUGUAAGCAGUCGGCUGCUGUCAUUAAGCAAAAAGGCCAAGACAAUGUGAGUUUAUCUGGUCCUACCUGCAUUUCUACUCAUCGUUGGACUGAAACAAAUGGGAAAGAAAAACUUACUGACUUUUGGCGAACUACAAAGGUUAACUCUAUUCAUCAUGGAGAAACUGAUACUAAG
rnacentral:lncRNA from 1 species